rnacentral:rRNA from 1 species
CAGUAGCCACGGGAAUACGAAGGGGGCUAGCGUUGUUCGGAUUUACUGGGCGUAAAGCGCACGUAGGCGGACUUUUAAGUCAGGGGUGAAAUCCCGGGGCUCAACCCCGGAACUGCCUUUGAUACUGGAAGUCUUGAGUAUGGUAGAGGUGAGUGGAAUUCCGAGUGUAGAGGUGAAAUUCGUAGAUAUUCGGAGGAACACCAGUGGCGAAGGCGGCUUACUGGACCAUUACUGACGCUGAGGUGCGAAAGCGUGGAGAGCAAACAGGAUUAGAUACCCCCGUAGUCCCUGUCUCUUAUAC